rnacentral:rRNA from 1 species
UGAGUAAUACAUCGGAACGUGUCUUCUAGGGGGGGAUAACUGCCCGAAAGGGCAGCUAAUACCGCAUGAGACCUGAGGGUGAAAGCGGGGGAUCGCAAGACCUCGCGCUGGAAGAGCGGCCGAUGUCCGAUUAGCUAGUUGGUGAGGUAAAGGCUCACCAAGGCGACGAUCGGUAGCUGGUCUGAGAGGACGACCAGCCACACUGGGACUGAGACACGGCCCAG